UCCAGUGUACCUAAAGCUAACAACUUUAAUGACUUAUUUUUUCCCUAGAUCUGCUUUGCAGUAGGAAGCUUUUAGACUGUUGUCUACAUUUCUCUUACCAUGGACUUCAGCUGAACCAGUCAAGAUACAAAGAUAAGCUAUCGUGAUAGAAAGAUGGCCUAAGAAACUGAGGAAACAGCUGCUUUUGGAGAAGUCUUUCAGUCUACAAUGCGUCAGUACUUCAGGUGCCUUCUGCAUGCCUCAAAGUACCUCAAACUUCAGUGCACUUGAAAGCACCCUUAGAGCAUAGUGAUACACGGUGUUCUGGGCGACCUGGAAACAUAAACAUUACAAAGCACCAGCAACCAUCUAUAACAUCAGUGAACUGCAACAAGAAAAGGAGAUGGAAGUGAAGUCUCAGAGAAAAAAACCCCAGCAAAUUAUUGACUUCUACUUCCCCAAGGAUGCGAAUGCUGAGAGCCCCA
rnacentral:lncRNA from 1 species